ACACUGCAGGGUUAAAACUACAGUGGUCCUUUAAAUAAUAUAUGCAUCAUAUAUAAGAACUGUCAAAUAAAUAAAUGAAAUUUGUGAGGGACCACCAGGUUAACUAGUACUAGUACAUGUUUCCCCAACUUCCACCCCUCCAUGGGUCUGCUGAGUCACGGUGCGCCUGACCAGGAGCAGCCCUGAAACGGAUCACAAUUUCCUAAGACUUCAAUGAGGGCGCUCUUGGUCCCUGGACCAGCUAUCAGGGCGCCUUUUGGAGGGGUAAUGGAGGGAGUGGUGAGGCAUCGAAAGACACCAGGGACUUGGGAGAGCUCCAUGUUCCCACGGAAAGCGGUCAUUUUAGGUGACUGGGAAAUACUACUCAGCUCAUGGAACCCCACGCUGGAUCAAGGGCUAGCGACCAGCUAAAACUUGGACUUCUACGUAACUCGGGCUAGCCACACCCAAUCCGGUAGCUUUUUUGACUAAGUGGGUGCUCUGAUCAAUGCUUCCUGGGGACACUGGUUGUGUGGGGAUAUGGGCAGGGGAACAAAGUUAUAUUGUAUUUUCUGCACCAGUGCCAAGUUGUCUGGUCACUAAUUAAAUUACCAACUCAGGAACAGACACCAGGGAUGUUGCAAUUAACCCCAGGUAUAAAAAGCGAUGUUUUCCCAAUAAACACUGUGCAGCACUGACCCAGGAAGCACCUCUAGUGGCCUGUGGUCUGGCACCAAGAGGUGUUCCUGGGCUGUAAUGUAAAUAGUAAGCUGUAGUUGUUAUAGUGUCUCUUUAAGUGUGUAAAAUAUAUGUUUGUUCAGCUUACAUUUGUUUUCCUUAAUAGAUGACACCAGUGGUAUCAUAACCUAUGAUAGCCUUACAUUAUUGUUUUGUUAUAUUUUAUUUAUUUCUAAUCUCAUAUGUAACAUGCUGUUCUGCUCACCUUCUGACCAUAGCCUGAUUACAAAUGCUACUUGCUUAUUGCACACCCACUAUAUGUCUAAGCUACCAUGUCUCAGCUGUAUGAAUAUGUGAUUUUACCCUGUGCCUUAAUUAAAAAAAAUUGACAAUCGGAAGGAUGACUAUUAAACUUUUUUUCCCCCUGCAAUCUAUAUU